rnacentral:rRNA from 1 species
AGAGCGAACGCUGGCGGCAUGCCUAAUACAUGCAAGUCGAACGAACUCUUCGGAGUUAGUGGCGCACGGGUGCGUAACGCGUGGGAAUCUGCCCCUUGGUUCGGAAUAACAGUUGGAAACGACUGCUAAUACCGGAUGAUGACGAAAGUCCAAAGAUUUAUCGCCAAGGGAUGAGCCCGCGUAGGAUUAGCUAGUUGGUGAGGUAAAGGCUCACCAAGGCAACGAUCCUUAGCUGGUCUGAGAGGAUGAUCAGCCACACUGGGACUGAGACACGGCCCAGACCUCCUACGGGAGGCAGCAGUAGGGAAUAUUGGAACAAGU